UCAUCAUCUGUGCCGAAGUCAGACACUCAACCGACUGAGCUACCCAAGCACCCCCAGGUGACUUUUAAGAAAGGGAAAUUACUCUUAUUUUUUAGUAGGCUACACCCCCAGCGUGGAGCCCAAUGCAGGGCUCGAACUCACAACCCUGAGAUCAAGACCUGAGCUGAGAUCAAAAGUCAGAUGCUUAACUGACUAAGCCACCCAGGCACCCCAGAAAGGGAAAUUAAUCUGAUGGUACUGUAAUUGCUGAUCUAUGUCAUCAUACAUUUGUCAAACCCAUAAAAAGUACAACACUAAGGGUGAAUGUUGAAGUAAACUAUGGAUUUUGCUUGAUAAACCAAGGUUGACAGUGAUGUGUUAAUGUUGGUUCAUGGACUGUGGGGUGCUGAUGGUGUGGAAAGUUUUGUGUUGAUGGGAGGAGGGGAGGAGUAUGUGGAAACUCAUUGUAUUUUAAGCUCAACUUUGCUGUGAAUCUAAAAUGCUCUAAAAUAUAAAGUCUAUUACUGAUAUAAAAAGGCCAAAUAAAGAUAUUUUCAGAUACACAGAAGCUGAAAGAAUUCAUUACCAACUGACCUACACUACCAGAAAUGUUAAAAGUCCUUUAGGAAGAAGGAAAAUUGUAUCAUUUGGAAAUCUGGAGCUAAAUGAACGAAGAGCACUGGAAAUGGUAACUACACAGGGAUUAUAUCUGGAAGAAGGUGGAGGAGGAGGAUCUUAAGCUUACCUUGUUCCAUGGAUACAACUAGGUAACAAGCAUAUAAAUAUUUCCAUGAAAUACUAGGAGAACUUGUCAAGAGUCCCAAAUAAAGCAUAAGAAAAUUUAUGACUAUAUAUACUCACAGGCCCUUAAUUUCUAUCCUGAAGUACUAAAGAGAGUCAAACAUCACCAGGAGUCACCUAGAUAUCCUUCACAAGUGCUUCCAAAAUUGCCCAUGAACCCUAUUUUUGUUCUUACCCAUGGAAUGAGCUAAAAAUGAGUUGCAGAAUUCCUUUGGAUACUUAAGUGAUUUAAAGCAUGUCAUCUUCAGGGGGAGGGGCCCAAGAUGGUGGAGCAGCAUGGAAGUUUUUUGCAUCUCUGGCCCCUGAAAUGCAGCUACAUCAACACCAACACAUCUUUCACACCUAGAAAAUUGAUCUGAGGAUUAACACAGCAAUUUGCAUAACCUGAACCACAGAACUCAGCAGAUGCAGCACAGAGAGGUGAACUUGGGGAGAGAAGUUGCAGAGGGU